GACGAACGCUGGCGGCGUGCUUAACACAUGCAAGUCGAACGGAAAGGCCCUGCUUGCAGGGUACUCGAGUGGCGAACGGGUGAGUAACACGUGGGUGAUCUGCCCUGCACUUCGGGAUAAGCCUGGGAAACUGGGUCUAAUACCGGAUAGGAGCCAUUUUUAGUGUGAUGGUUGGAAAGUUUUUUCGGUGUAGGAUGAGCUCGCGGCCUAUCAGCUUGUUGGUGGGGUAAUGGCCUACCAAGGCGGCGACGGGUAGCCGGCCUGAGAGGGUGGACGGCCACAUUGGGACUGAGAGACGGCCCAGACUCCUACGGGAGGCAGCAGUGGGGAAUAUUGCACAAUGGGCGCAAGCCUGAUGCAGCGACGCCGCGUGGGGGAUGACGGCCUUCGGGUUGUAAACUCGUUUCGCUAGGGACGAAGCUUUUUGUGACGGUACCUAGAGAAGAAGCACCGGCUAACUACGUG
rnacentral:rRNA from 1 species